UGUUUCCCGUAAGGCGCCGAAUGAGUCAUUAAAAAAUUAACAUCAUCCGAUCCCUAGUCGGCAUAGUUUAUGGUUAAGACUACGACGGUAUCUGAUCGUCUUCGAUCCCCUAACUUUCGUUCUUGAUUAAUGAAAACAUCCUUGGCAAAUGCUUUCGCAGUAGUUAGUCUUCAAUAAAUCCAAGAAUUUCACCUCUGACAAUUGAAUACUAAUGCCCCCAACUAUCCCUAUUAAUCAUUACGUCGAUCCUAGAAACCAACAAAAUAGAAUCAAACGUCCUAUUUCAUUAUUCCAUGCUAAUGUAUUCAAGCGUGAGCCUGCUUUAAACACUCUAAUUUUUUCAAAGUAACAGUCCUGAUUCCCCACAACACCAAAUAAAUGACAUCGUGGUUCGUCAGAAGGGAGAAACCAACGAUGCCAGUACGUACCGAGGCACGACCGACAUGAUGAUCCCGAAAUUCAACUACGAGCUUUUUAACUGCAGCAACUUUAAUAUACGCUAUUGGAGCUGGAAUUACCGCGGCUGCUGGCACCAGACUUGCCCUCCAA
rnacentral:rRNA from 1 species